GUUGUGUCCAGGGGAUGGAGGGAGUUUAUUGAAGUCUUCUUGGGCUCACAUGGGAAAUCAUUUAAAAUAUAAACUUGAUAGUCAGUCUAAGGAAACUGGAAACUGCAGAGCGACAGAAGAACUAACGAUAUCUCUUGUUUUCUCCUUUAAUGAGUCGACUCUUCUUGUGCUUUCAGACCAAAGAACUACAGACUCUUCACAACCUGCUCAAACUCUUGGUACAGGACCUCACCACACGGGUCAAGAAGGUUUCUGUCUCAUUUCUACUCUGAAGCUCACCUUCUCCUGCUCAAACUGCUGACAAAUGUUUCUGCUGCUCUAAAGUCUGGUCUCCAGAACUUCCUAAAAACUCUCAAAGUCUCUUCUGCUGCAGGUUGCUUUGUAGAACUGUUCCAGAAAACCUCACUAAACCACAUGGAGGGGCCUCAAGAUAGUUGUCCAAAUGAAACCGUACAAAAACCAAACUAGCACAACCCAAAUGCUAAAGUCUCCUGCAGCCUACCAGAGAACCUCUGAGAACAGAGAAUCAGGACAGGAACUCUUACCUUCUGGACAACAAACGCUGGUUCACAAACAAGAACACAGAAUGUGUCUGACCAAAAAUCUCUCAAGACUCAUUACAGCCAAGAUAACGACACAACUCAGCUGCAUCAAACCCACUAAUCACUGCACACAUUAACACCAUGUGCUAACUGUGGCUAAAGAACCUCAUUUACCAAGACAACUAUCCGGUCGGUACAAAGCCCUAAAACACACCAAGAAACACAUUAAAGACGAUUUUAUUGCUGGAAGCUGCAAGCCAACGCCUAAAGAACAAACUGAAGCAACGGAGCCAAACCCAGUUCUGUGGAGAAGAGAAGCAGAGGAAAUGUUUGACUGCAGCUAAAUAAAGCAGGAAGACACUGAGCUGCUCAGGUGUUCCUGAUAACACCAAGCAGCCACCUGAACAGCCAAUAGGAACACAGCUUACUGGAAGUCCAGAGGGCUGGGUUAGUGAAGGAAAUUUAGUUUAAAGUUGAAGCAGAAAGUUCACAAAGAAAGUUGAAAACCACCUUCUGAUCCUUGAAAUCUCUGAGUUUUCACACAAAGAACACCUGAACAUGUCAAACUGGUUCCAUAGUGGAACCCUCAUUGUAAAAACGUCAUAGUAUGGUGUGUUGCUCAAAAAACAUUACGACCCGGCUGUCUAGGGUCGCCGAGGAGCAACACAAAAACAGGACAAACACUGGUUUCCUAUAGUUUAGCAUGUCGCCGAAAUGUUACAAAAAUGUCAUAGUUUAGUAUGUCUUCCAAAAUGUGACAAAAAUGUCAUAGUUUAGUAUGUCGUCCAAAAUAUCACAAAAAGGUCAUAGUUUAGUAUGUCGUCCAAAAUGUGACAAAAAUGUCAUAGUUUAGUAUGCCGUCCAAAAUAUCACAAAAAUGUCAGUUUAGUAUGUCGUCCAAAAUGUCACAAAAAUGUCAUAGUUUAGUAUGUCGUCCAAAUUAUCACAAAAACGUCAUAGUUUAGUAUGUCGUCAAAAAUGUAAGUUGAAAAAUC
ensembl:lncRNA